rnacentral:lncRNA from 1 species
AAAACUCAAUAAAUAAAAAGUAGGAGGAAGUCCUUCUUCUUCCUUGAGAUCUCCCCUCUUCAAUUCACUAUCCACCCGUCGGAAAACUCCAUUGCCGACGAACAUCAACCGCCGAAAACCCACAACCUCAACAAAUUUUCCGUUCGCGUUCCUACCGUUUUCGUCUUUCCAACACACCGCCCUCCGCCUCCGUCCAAACAACACACUUCCGUUAUCACCUCCGAACAACCCCAUUUUUCGAUGACGCCCCUUCCGACCCUCAACCGUGUAAACCUUGCUUCACACACUCAAACCAUAAAAUCC